rnacentral:rRNA from 1 species
UCGAGCGAGGCCUGGGGGGCAACUCCCAGAGUCGAGCGGCGGACGGGUGAGUAACACGUGGGUAACCUGCCCGGAAGUGGGGAAUACCUCGGGGAAACUCGAGCUAAUACCGCAUGACAUCUCUGGGACGAGAGUCCUGAUGAUCAAAGCGGGGUCCCAAGAUCUCGCGCUACCGGAUGGGCCCGCGCCCGAUUAGCUAGUUGGUGAGGUAACGGCUCACCAAGGCUUCGAUCGGUAACCGGCCUGAGAGGGCGAUCGGUCACACCGGAACUGAGACACGGGCCGGACUCCUACGGGAGGCAGCAGUGGGGAAUCUUGCGCAAUGGGCGAAAGCCUGACGCAGCAGCGCCGCGUGGAGGAUGAAGGCCCUUGGGUUGUAAACUCCUGUCGGCUGGGAAGAAAUCAUACGGUGCUCAUACCACCGUGUGUUGACUGUACCAGCAAAGGAAGCCCCGGCUAACUCUGUGCCAGCAGCCGCGGUAAUACAGAGGGGGCUAGCGUUAUUCGGAAUUAUUGGGCGUAAAGGGCGCGUAGGCGGCCAUGCGUGUCUUCCGUGAAAUCCCUCGGCUUAACUGAGGACGUGCGGAAGAAACUGCAAGGCUCGAGUCCGGGAGAGGGGGGUGGAAUUCCCAGUGUAGCGGUGAAAUGCGUAGAUAUUGGGAGGAACACCGGUGGCGAAGGCGGCCCCCUGGACCGGUACUGACGCUGAUGCGCGAAAGCGUGGGUAGCAAACGGGAUUAGAUACCCCGGUAGUCCACGCCGUAAACGAUGGGCACUUGGUGUCGCGGGUAUCGACCCCUGCGGUGUCGAAGCUAGCGCAUUAAGUGCCC